GAUGAAGAACGUAGCGAAAUGCGAUAAGUAAUGUGAAUUGCAGAAUUCAGUGAAUCAUCGAAUCUUUGAACGCACAUUGCGCCCGCUAGUAUUCUGGCGGGCAUGCCUGUUCGAGCGUCAUUUCAACCAUCAAGCCCUAGGCUUGCGUUGGAGCCCUGCGGCUGCCGCAGGCUCCCAAAUCCAGUGGCGGGCUCGUCGUCGUACCGAGUGCAGUAAACAUCCUCGCUCAGGGAACGUGACGGGUUCUUGCCGUGAAACCCCCCACAUAUCAAGGUUGACCUCGGAUCAGGUAGGAAUACCCGCUGAACUUAAGCAUAUCAAUAAGCGGAGGA
rnacentral:misc_RNA from 1 species